rnacentral:rRNA from 1 species
UAGCUCACUGGUCGAGUCGGCCUGCGCGGAAGAUGUAACGGGGCUAAACCAUGCACCGAAGCUGCGGCAGCGACACUAUGUGUUGUUGGGUAGGGGAGCGUUCUGUAAGCCUGUGAAGGUGGCCUGUGAGGGUUGCUGGAGGUAUCAGAAGUGCGAAUGCUGACAUAAGUAACGAUAAAGCGGGUGAAAAGCCCGCUCGCCGGAAGACCAAGGGUUCCUGUCCAACGUUAAUCGGGGCAGGGUGAGUCGACCCCUAAGGCGAGGCCGAAAGGCGUAGUCGAUGGGAAACAGGUUAAUAUUCCUGUACUUGGUGUUACUGCGAAGGGGGGACGGAGAAGGCUAUGUUGGCCGGGCGACGGUUGUCCCGGUUUAAGCGUGUAGGCUGGUUUUCCAGGCAAAUCCGGAAAACCAAGGCUGAGGCGUGAUGACGAGGCACUACGGUGCUGAAGCGACAAAUGCCCUGCUUCCAGGAAAAGCCUCUAAGCAUCAGGUAACAUCAAAUCGUACCCCAAACCGACACAGGUGGUCAGGUAGAGAAUACCAAGGCGCUUGAGAGAACUCGGGUGAAGGAACUAGGCAAAAUGGUGCCGUAACUUCGGGAGAAGGCACGCUGAUAUGUAGGUGAAGCGACUUGCUCGUGGAGCUGAAAUCAGUCGAAGAUACCAGCUGGCUGCAACUGUUUAUUAAAAACACAGCACUGUGCAAACACGAAAGUGGACGUAUACGGUGUGACGCCUGCCCGGUGCCGGAAG